AUACGAAGGGUGCAAGCGUUAAUCGGAAUUACUGGGUGUAAAGCGCGCGUAGGUGGUUUUGUAAGUUGGAGGUGAAAGCCCCGGGCUCAACCUGGGAAUUGCCUCCAAAACUGCAUGACUAGAGUACGGUAGAGGGUAGUGGAAUUUCCUGUGUAGCGGUGAAAUGCGUAGAUAUAGGAAGGAACACCAGUGGCGAAGGCAACUACCUGUACUGAUACUGAAACUGAGGGGCUAACGCGUGGGGAGCAAACAGGAUUAGAUCCCUUGGUAGUCCACGCCGUAAACGAUGUCAACUAGCCGUUGGGAUCCUUGAGAUCUUAGUGGCGCAGCUAACGCAUUAAGUUGACCGCCUGGGGAGUACGGCCGCAAGGUUAAAACUCAAAUGAAUUGACGGGG
rnacentral:rRNA from 1 species